CUACUCCAGGUAGAAUAGCAUACAUUUAUGUUCGUACUCUAUUUGAAUAAUAUACCAAUAAUGUAUAGUAUCACAUCCUUCAUAGCGAGCAAACAAUAUUUCUGGGUAAAUAACAGGGCGUGAGAAGCAGACGGAGGCGGAGCUGGGAGCUCAACACACUGCCACUCCAGGCAGCUGCGCAGCUUGUCUCCUCUUCUGCUGCAGUUCUCCCCAGAGUCAGAAGUUUUUUGCACAGACCGAUUGUUUCGCUUCAUAAGACCUCUAUAUAUGGUCAAGAGCCACUGGUAUUCAUUUUGUGUUACUUGAUAUGCUUUUUUAUUCUCAAAUACAGGCAGCCACUGACUUGCAUUUUAUGAAUCACCAAGGAUCACGGUUUCAGCUAAAAAUCUUCUUUGCUUUUUACUGAAGAAAAAAAGUCACCUACAUCUUGGAUGGGCAAAACAGCAACUUUCAUUUUUGGGUGAACUAUCUCUUUAAGAACUGAACCAACUAGCAGUGAGCCAAGUAGCAGUGAUGCUUGCCUUAGCCUUAGUUUUUAAGUUGCUUCCUUCUACUCGCAGAUAUUAUUUGCCUUUAUAUAGGACCAAAAGAUUUAAAAAUUAUUUAUACUAGCUGCCAUUGUUUUAUUACAAAUAAUUUUAUGUAUAUUAUUAAUGGAAGUCGUUGUUUUGUCUGUGUGUUGUGGUGCUUGUUUGUUGUUUGCAUAUGGUUUACUGCUGGCUGUGAAACAAUUUGCCCUUGGGGGAUAAUAUAGUUGCCCUCGACUUUGACCUUGCAUGCUGCCUACAGCACAAUUACCGCAACGUUAUGAUGAAGAUUUAUGAUGUUUCUUUAAGAUGUUAUAAAUACAGAAUAUAAACUAUAAAGCUUUUAUCCUAGGGAUAGAAAAACCUCCACUUGCGUCCAAAACAGAAGCAGAUCCUGUUAAACUGUAUUGAGAGUUUUAAGGGGAAGUUGCUGCUGGCUACACCUCCAGAUCAGGCCUCUUUUCCUCUGCUGGACCGUUAACCACAGCACGGACCCCUGCCUGACACCCUUCAAGAGAACAAAGGCCUGCUGCACACUUAUACGCUAUGCUAGAAAUUGAGCACAGAUGUCAAACAGUUUGUGAGAAGGCCAAAAUCCUCUUUUAUGGCCACAU
ensembl:lncRNA